GAUGAACGCUGGCGGCGUGCCUAAUACAUGCAAGUCGAGCGAACGGACGAGAAGCUUGCUUCUCUGAUGUUAGCGGCGGACGGGUGAGUAACACGUGGAUAACCUACCUAUAAGACUGGGAUAACUUCGGGAAACCGGAGCUAAUACCGGAUAAUAUUUUGAACCGCAUGGUUCAAAAGUGAAAGACGGUCUUGCUGUCACUUAUAGAUGGAUCCGCGCUGCAUUAGCUAGUUGGUAAGGUAACGGCUUACCAAGGCAACGAUGCAUAGCCGACCUGAGAGGGUGAUCGGCCACACUGGAACUGAGACACGGUCCAGACUCCUACGGGAGGCAGCAGUAGGGAAUCUUCCGCAAUGGGCGAAAGCCUGACGGAGCAACGCCGCGUGAGUGAUGAAGGUCUUCGGAUCGUAAAACUCUGUUAUUGGGGAAGAACAUAUGUGUAAGUAACUGUGCACAUCUUGACGGUACCUAAUCAGAAAGCCACGGCUAACUACGUGCCAGCAGCCGCGGUAAUACGUAGGUGGCAAGCGUUAUCCGGAAUUUAUGGGCGUAAAGCGCGCGUAGGCGGUUUUUUAGUCUGAUGUGAAAGCCCACGGCUCAACCGUGGAGGGUCAUUGGAAACUGGAAAACUUGAGUGCAGAAGAGGAAAGUGGAAUUCCAUGUGUAGCGGUGAAAUGCGCAGAGAUAUGGAGGAACACCAGUGGCGAAGGCGACUUUCUGGUCUGUAACUGACGCUGAUGUGCGAAAGCGUGGGGAUCAAACAGGAUUAGAUACCCUGGUAGUCCACGCCGUAAACGAUGAGUGCUAAGUGUUAGAGGGUUUCCGCCCCUUAGUGCUGCAGCUAACGCAUUAAGCACUCCGCCUGGGGAGUACGACCGCAAGGUUGAAACUCAAAGGAAUUGACGGGGACCCGCACAAGCGGUGGAGCAUGUGGUUUAAUUCGAAGCAACGCGAAGAACCUUACCAAAUCUUGACAUCCUUUGACAACUCUAGAGAUAGAGCCUUCCCCUUCGGGGGACAAAGUGACAGGUGGUGCAUGGUUGUCGUCAGCUCGUGUCGUGAGAUGUUGGGUUAAGUCCCGCAACGAGCGCAACCCUUAAGCUUAGUUGCCAUCAUUAAGUUGGGCACUCUAAGUUGACUGCCGGUGACAAACCGGAGGAAGGUGGGGACGACGUCAAAUCAUCAUGCCCCUUAUGAUUUGGGCUACACACGUGCUACAAUGGACAAUACAAAGGGCAGCGAAACCGCGAGGUCAAGCAAAUCCCAUAAAGUUGUUCUCAGUUCGGAUUGUAGUCUGCAACUCGACUACAUGAAGCUGGAAUCGCUAGUAAUCGUAGAUCAGCAUGCUACGGUGAAUACGUUCCCGGGUCU
rnacentral:rRNA from 1 species